UGUACGCCUAAAAUUUUCCUUCUCAGCAUAUUUUAUUUUACACUAUUCCGUUCACGCUCUCUUCUCUAGGAUACGCGGCUCUUUCUCUUCUCAAACGUGUAACACCAGGCUCCUCUUGUUUUUGGUGCUUUGAGUUGUUUUCUUAGUUUGCCAACAUUUGUUUUUCAUGGGGAUCAACAAUAAAUUUUGGGGGUUAAACAUUAUAUCUUCAGGUUUUCAUGGGAUCAGCGAUAUAUUUUGGGUUAAACAUUAUCUCUUCAGAGCUGCUGACGCUUCUGUUACAUUUGGUACAACAAAAAAAGUUGCUCGACGUGCUUACAGAGUGUACAAAACAUAUCGAGUAGACUAACCAUUAACAAGACCACUCCACAAACAAAAGAGUGGACCUGAAAAGUACAACUGAUUGAGAAACCUCGACCAAGGAAAAUUAAAGAUGGAAAGACUCUAUUCGAGAUUGCUGUUGUCCAAGCGAAAAUGAAGAGAAGGUAGUUGUUUUGUAUGGCGAAGACAUUGAAAAGUAUGCAGACAAGCUCACCCCGUUUUUCACUUGAUACCUACUGCAAAAGUGAGGGUUCCUGUACCAUAUGGAGUACCUAUCAACCGUUUUGAAUGGGUUAUCGACAGAUUUACUGUUGUCGAAGAGGUGAAAGAUGACAACUCACAAGACCCACCGCUACCGCCUCCGACGAGGUUGAAUACUGUACCCUUUGCAUAUCUGCACGACCAACAGCUAAAUACAGAAAUUGGUAACCAUUAUUUUACGAAUAGUACCCUUUCACAAUUAAAUUUAUUUGUAUCCUUACAUUCUGGGACGGUGCACAUUGGUCUAAAUUAUAAGCCACUUGCAAUUUCUAUUAAAUAGACAUAAUUGCCGUUGUGG